GUGCAAGUAAUAUAUACAUAAUUGCAAAAGUAUUGAUUGUAUGUGUGAAAGCAAUAAAGAAAUAGAGACUAGGUUAAGAAAAUUACAUAACCUUAAGAGACUGCAAUUUCUCACCAAAUCAUUCGGGGAAAGAAAGUCAUUAAAAGAGGAAAUUAAA